rnacentral:rRNA from 1 species
UACGUAGGGGGCAAGCGUUGUCCGGAUUUAUUGGGCGUAAAGAGCUCGUAGGCGGCUUGUCGCGUCGAAUGUGAAAUCUCAGGGCUCAACUCUGACAUUGCAUUCGAUACGGGCAGGCUAGAGUUCGGUAGGGGAGACUGGAAUUCCUGGUGUAGCGGUGAAAUGCGCAGAUAUCAGGAGGAACACCGGUGGCGAAGGCGGGUCUCUAGGCCGAUACUGACGCUGAGGAGCGAAAGCAUGGGGAGCGAACAGG